rnacentral:tRNA from 2 species
CGGGGUGUAGCGCAGUUUGGUAGCGCGUCUCGUUCGGGACGAGAAGGUCGUAGGUUCAAAUCCUAUCACCCCGA